CUGGUCGUGAACUAUUUCUAAAAAAUUUAUUCAAAUUAAAGUGGUACCUACCAUUCAUUUUUUUGGGGGGAAAAUUCUCAGAUUAUUACCCUGUACUUGGGUCCUAAACACUUCAAUUCCCUUUAUCAACAUGUCGUCUUCUUCUUCUUCUUCUUCUUCUUCACUUGGAUCAAGGGCUUAGGAUUUUAGAUUGAUCCCGCUCAAGUUUGAUUGGAAGCCAUCUCUGGGUUAUGCCAUCGGAAAAAAAAUUAGGUGCUCAAGCUUUUGCUUUCGUUUUCCAAUAUUUUGACUAUUGGAAAAUAUUUUAAUUAUCGUGCAGGAAUUUGAUUGGAAACAACCUCAAUGGACAUGCUAGGUGCUCAAGCAGGCGAGACAGCCCAACGAUUUCUUGCAGCAACAAGUUUGGGUUAGCCAUCCUAACAUCAAAACAGGGACUCGAAGGUGGCAUAUCUGGAGGGUUAUCACCCUUGUUUUCUUGUAGUUGGUUGCUAGUGACAGACGAUCAUGGAGGAUUUUAGUUAGUGGCCCAUCGAGAUAUCUAAGUGCUCGAUCAAUCCUGUUGAACAUGAGGAUCUCUUGGAUAGAAAUGGAGAUUGGAGUGAUUGAUGUAGCUCUUCUUUCUCUGAUAGAUAAUUUUUGCUAACAAUUUCUGAUGCAAAGCACAUAAAGAUAGAGCUUGUAGGAUUGAAGUCAUAGACCCUGAACUGCUACUACAAGUGGUUGAUACUCAUCAUAAUGAAGGUUAGCCUUUAAGCCCUAAGGUGAAGCAAGGCAAAGCAAAAUGAGAUCAUAAAGAAAGACCUCCUACACAAAAAGGGUGAUGCUCAAGGAAAUUAGACAAACGGACUAUCUUCCCAAAGUAUGUUCUCUUUGGCCUGAAUUUUAAGCAGUGUUGACCAGAUAUUUAGACUACAAAUGAUUAUAAAAAUGGUUUGCUCUUAAAGGCGACUGAUGAAACACUGUGCCUCAUUAAUGUUCAUUGGUAGCUUUUCAAGAAGCAAGAAAGGAGGUUAAUAUCAGUGCGAGUACGGAAACAUUGAUUCAUCUUAUGCUUGCAUGCCAGUGGUAAUUCCAAUUUGGUUCGGCUCCAUGCUACAAUUUCGUCCCACAAUAUUCUCUGAUUAUUCAAUUCUUGACUUUCUUGUGUAUUGGUGACAGAUUGACGAUGAAAAUCAUAAUGUUGAUUAUGGUUAUUUUCUUUGAGGGUCAUAAUGAUAUGGAACAUUUGCUUAGUCAGGAAUAGUGUUGUUUUAGAAAGAACUACUUUUAACCAUAUACAAGUUAUCACAAAAAGCUCCUUAUCAUGUCAA